rnacentral:rRNA from 1 species
CAAACAAAAAGGGGAAUUCGUAGUCACUUUUUCCUGUCGCGUAAAAAAAAGUCUUUACGCGAGAGCAAUAGAGGUUGGGAUACAUCUAUCUCUUCUGAGCAACCUCUUUUGGAUUCUUAA